UGAGCGCCUGGGCAGGCCCCGUUUCUGUGCAGGGUCAGUCGCCGUUGUGACGUAGGCAAAACUAUGCCUCGGGGGACAUUGUGAAGUUAGCGAAGGGUGCCCUAGGUGACACUGUGAAGUAGGCAAGCGCAUUUUAUUCGCUCAUUAAGCAUUUACUGAACCCGUCUGUGUGCCAGGUACCAGCGAUGUAAAGACAGUGAAGAGCAGCCCUACCACAGGUGACAAGGGACAAAGCCACGGAAACAGAUCUCCUUUGGUGAAAUGUCAAAAAGCAAACCAAAACAAAACCACACUUUUCUAAAUUUGGGCUACCCAAUAGGAAACUGAAAACAAGAAGACCCCUGUCAGCUGCUGGCCUUGCCUCCCACCGUAGAAGACUAGACACAAACCCCCUCAUGUGCAGCAGGCGAUACUGAACAUAAAGGCUCUCAGCCCUGAGCAACAAUGGAAAAUAAAAAAGCUUUUCCUUGCUUCAGUGUCGGGGAAUUCAAUUUUUCAGUGAGGACAAGAUGGUGGCUCAUGCAUUUCAGGAAAAUGGAUGGACUAGGUGGAAACAUACGCAGUUUCAGUCAACUCUGAUGUUUAUUCCCGUCUAAAAUAUAGCAUCUUUUCUGCAAAAAUGAUGAGUUAAAAAUAGUUUAAUGGAGAAAAGGUAUUUAAAAUAUAAUUGUGACAAUUUAAAAAAUCCUCUCAUGAACACAGAAGGAAAAAG